UUCUGCUGCCUGCCUUUAGGA
rnacentral:miRNA from 1 species